CUAAUAUUACCUGGUCUAAACCCAUGUGCAUGCCCUCACAAAAUGCCAAACUUCAACGCAUUAUUGAAUCACUAGAUAAGAUGCAAAGGAAAAGAUACUCUUUGAAUGGUGGAAAAUAUGAGUUUCUCAAAGAAAACAUAGCAUAUCUUUCUCCAUUUCAUUAUAUUGAUGCAGGCAUGUUGUUGUAACAUGAGAAACCAAAGCUUUAUAAUGUUCUAACGAAUAAAUAGUUCGGUUUUACAGUUUUCGUGAAAUGAUGCAGCCGGUCGCGGCAAUAGUUCGUUCUUCAGAAUGGGCGGUGUUAGUAAAAUAGUUCUGUUUUUUCUGGACUUAGAAAAGAGCUGAGGGCUAAGAGUUGUUCUACAAUGACGAAACCUAGCUGUUUUCGAGAUUGUAAAAGAAGGUAGCUACAGAAAACUUGGAAAAUCCUGUGCCGUUUUGCUUUAGCACGAAGAUACGAGAAGUACUCAAAUGAACAGCAGUACAGGCAACUGGCCUCUUAUUCGGAACCUUUUCGUGAAUUCAUUUUAGGACCAGAAAGAAAACAUUUGGAGGCGACCCAUCUAGGAUAUGCAAUCGGAAUUACUGCGUGCCAAGGUGUAUGAUCUCUUUCUGAGCAAACUCGAUGAACUUUGGAUUCAGUAGGGAACACAGAUCCUGUGUGUAUUAGGACCAGCUACCAUAUCAUGCCAAAGCAGAUCGGAGAGUGCCAUUGUCAAAUCUCCCACUUUUCCUAUGAGGGAAAAUAAGCAGACUUUGGUAAGAACAUAUGCACUAAUCCGUUGUUGCUAAGCCAAAAAUCAGGAGGCGGACUAAUCAAGCAAGGCAAUAUUGUUACAUAUGCAAGGAAUAGAUGCACUCAAACGAUAAAUCAUGCUCGAUUCUACUAGAAAAAUAACGUCUAAAGCAUGUUUGGAUGUAUUUUAAGGCUUUCGAAACAUUAGAUUGUACAUACCAUCUCCGAUGGGAUGUUCGUCCCACAUGAUGAUUGGCAAUAUCGGUAGCGUACUUCCUAUAUACAUCAUUUCUGCUGCACCUUUGGCUUCCAUGACGGUAAGAUUGGCAGUUUUGACACUUUUAAGACGCCCUUGCUUGACCAACUUAGGUGCUAAUUCGAGAAGCCUUUUUGCAGUACACCCGCUUAGGAUAUUAUCGAAUGAAGGCAAAAUAAGUUCCUUAUCAUUGGUUAUAAAUGCGACAUUCACAUUAGGGCCCUCUGCGAUAAAACCAUCAUCGUCAACCCAAAUCGAAGCAUAUGCACCCUUGUCUUCAGCUUCCAUUAUUGAAAGAACAUUCGGCAAGUAAUUUACAUUCUUCAUUGUAGCAAACAGAGGUGCUUUCAUAGGGAUAGUCGAAGUUAUCACUUUAACCCCGUUUUUGCAUUGCGAGACAACGUCAGCAAUGACUACAGCGUAGAAUGCAGAAGUAGGGCAUUUGGCAGGAGAAAGCAAGAAAUUACCAGGACCGGCACUCAACCAGUACCGUAGAGUUCCUUCCUUGCACUGUGAUGCGGCGGUCAAUUGCACAAGAAUACUACGAAGAGUUGAUCGAGGAAACGGAAGGGUGAUUCUUGCUUUUGAUGCCGACCGAAGGAAGCGAUCUAAAUGAGCAUCCAGCUCAUAGAUGUAGCUACAAAAAUAGGAUAGGUUAUAUUAAGCUUUAUAAACAUAUAUUAACUAAUGCCUCAAAGAGAUAUCAUGAACUCGUGGGUUCAUCUAACAGGUUGGGGAUUCGAAUCUCGACACCUAUAACACCUCUCUCGAUCCCAAACUAUCGGUCUCCUUUGUACCGAAAAUAGGGAAACCAGGGACCUACCCAUCUAGAAUGACUGCUGUAUCGAAUACACCGUGGCCUCGAUGAACCAUGUGAUCAUCUAUGGGAAUUACCAUCAUGGCAGGGUGAAGAAUGAUCCCUCCGAAAACGCUGGAAUACAUAGCCGGAUAUGGUUUCUUCUUCACCGGACUCCACUUCUCGUGCAGCUUUUCGAUCAACUGAUAGACACACACACAAAAUAUCAGGAAAUACCAAUGACACAAGACUGGUCUAUUUCAUGAAACUUAACCCUCUACUUUUCGGAUUUUUUUGGAUUUAAAGUUGCAAGUCUAAUGGUUCGUGUUGCUUAAAUUCUUCUAUUAAAUUUAAGUUCAUUACAACAUUUUUUUGUUA